AGUGCAGGCACCAAAAUCGGGGUAUUUCUCAGGCAAUAAGAGCUCUCCAGACCCCGGCGAUUGGAUGAAGGCAUGCAACCUUUCUUUGCUCCUUCUUGUCGGUGACCGUAUUCGGAGUGACCUCAGUUUGGGGGAUCCAGCACACAGAUGGAGAAGUGAUUCUUCAACUCAUCGAAGUACCUACAGCGGUCAAAGCAUUACGUCUCAGCUUUGGAGGGGCCGUCAAGAAAAGUGGUCCCUGGUGUUCCAGGGUUUGGGAUGCAGAGAGGUAGACGGCAGGAAGCGCCCUGGACCCCAGGAAGAAGCGUUUCCAGUGGGACCCGGCAGAAUGCGGCCCUGUGAGGAAGUAAAGGCCGUUUCCAGCUGAUGAAACAUGUGACCAAAGGGAGGAAGUGUGAAAGUGCUUGAGAGGAUGUGGGGAACUCAAAAGUUGGGGGGAAACUGGGGAACUGCACAGCGAGAGAAAGGGAGGAAUAGGUAGGAAUAGAUGGGCUGGCGUUGCGUUAUGGGGGGCUUUGUCAGAGUUCGGCUUGUUGUGCCCACCAUGGGCCAGGAGGGCCCCACGUGGUGGUGGGCAGAUGUCCAGGUGUGCCUGCAGUGGUGGGUUAGGGAGUCACUGGGGUGGAGCCCGUAGACUUGGAAGGAGGGGGCUGAUCGGUCGCUGCGGGGCACCGGCUGCAUCGUACUCUUGGUGGAAGGUAGAUUUUAGAUCUUGGAGGGUGUUUUAUUGUGUUAACAGUCUUAAAUUCUCUGAAUAUUCAGACUUGCCGAAGUCAAAUAAAAACCGAUGAAGUGUGGUUUUUUUGCAGGUGAGUUCACUGGAAGAUUUGUGUGUGUGGUGGGUGAAAAUCUGCUGAGUUCGUUUCUGCCUGGUUCUGUGUGCCUGAAAUGUAAUUGUUUUGUUUUAGCACUUUACAGGUUUGUUUGGUUUAACUCCUGUCUACAUAGUUUUUGAGUGCUGACCUGUUUAAUGCCCUGUUUUGUAUGAGAAUACAAAUAAAAGGAGUCAGACCCCAAGGAGACUUCUCAUACACGUUAUGGGUUCCGUGCCCGGUGACCACGCACUGAGUGUGUCACCUCGGCUUCCGAGGGGGCACAGUGGGCAGCACAGUUCCCGACUGAAGAGUGACUCACGGUCACACACCCUCAGUGCUGCCAGUGCCCUGGACCAGUAAGUUAGUCGCUGAGCACCCCGACCCCAGGCUUCUCGGUGGGCGCAGAACCCCCCCUCACCAAGUCAGACUUGUUCGACUUCAGCAAGGCUGAAUAUUCAGAGAAUUUAAAAGUUCACACAAUAAAAUACUCUCCAAGAUCUGAAAUCUGCCCGCCCCCCGACACCUAGUGUGUGCACAUAUCACAGGGUCAGGAGGCUUUGUUGCAGAGGUUGGGGGCUCUGCUGGCACUAGCUGGGGCCAUACUUCACAGCAGAGAAUUCUCCCAAGUUCCACUGUCUUCGAAUGUUUUGCCAUCUGUUAAGGUGCAGAAAGGAAAAACCAGCCUGUGUCUUGAGCUGUGAUGGUGGUGGUUCUAUACAUAGUGCUGUCAUCAGAGUGUUCCAUGCUAUCUUCGCGUCGUGGUCAGGGCGUUACAAACAGUACAUACAUUUUUUUAUGCGGUGUAGAAGAGUUAUCUUGGACUUUGGACCUAGUCGUGCCAGAGCCAGGUACCUGCCUGACAUACUUGGUGACCCUCCCGACUUCACACUCACCUCAUCUCCCGAGAGGGUGUGGCCUGCUAGUGCCCACCAAGGCCGGGAUGUAGCUUUGCAACUUCAAGGCCAGCCUCUGGUGGGUCUUUAUGGACCAAUAAUCUAAAAGGGCUGCAGGUGUCAGGGGAGGCAGGGCCACCACGGGCAGUGCUGGGAGCGGCAGCUCGUCAGCUCAGGUGACCCGGGCGGAGCAGCGCCGAUGGGCAGAUGUAGCCAAAGGCUCCACCGCUGGCCUGCAGUGUGACCUCGGGCAGGCCACUUCCCUGUUUGUCCCUCAGUUUCAGUAAAAUGGGGACGAUGGUCAUAAUUACGAUGCUUCCUGCCAGGUGGCGCUCGUGAGAGUUGGGUUAGCGGAUGGUGUAAAGCGCUCAGACUCUCAGCUGGCACGUCAGGAUGGUCAUUUCCGUUCUUCCCUGGAUUUUCGGUGCAUUUUACAAACACAUGGAAAGAAGGGCGUGUCAAGAGGACAAAUCAGAAGAGCAGAUAAGAUCCGUAAAACCCAGGCCGUAUAUAGUCACAGGUCGGAGUAAGCCGAGAGGUGCAGAGAGUGCUGAGGACGGCAGGCAGGACUUUCUUGUAAAACCCACGGAACAUAAAAUUUACUAUUUUAACCAUUUUCAAGUGUGCGGUUCAGUUUGUUUGUUGUUAAAGUACAUUUACAAUGUUGUGAAACCUUCAGCUCUUGCCUACUUCCAGAAUAUUUCCAUCACUCCGAGAGGAAGCCCCCUCCCCCCAGCCCCUGGGCACCUCUGAUCUGUUUUCUGUCUCUGGAUUUGCUGACUCUGGACUCUGCACUUUGCAUCCUUUUAUUAUCCAGGCCUCCCCUAGGGUUCAAAUAGGACUUCCAGCCCCUUGCGCCACGUCACCCAGCCAGCUGGGGACUAUAGAGUAGAGAUUCUUAACCUCCUAAACCAGCAGAAUCUGAUUGGAAUUAGGUUUAUCCAAAAAGUCAGGUAAAGCGGGGAUUAAAAAAAGCAGACAUGUUACAUACAUUUUAUUUUAAUGUAAAAUGGAAGAAGAUAACAUCCAUUUGCUAAUGUUUUGAUAGGAAGCUGAGGCCUUUUAUUUUUGGUGGGCGUGGUCUAAACACUUCUAGGGAGGUCUUAAAUAUGCUUGCAAAGUAAUCUGAGCAAAUUCAUCUAGAUUUUUAUGAGCCCCCCAAUCUUGUAGAGUUGUCCCGCUCACACCUAAUUAAAUACUUUUAGCUUUAUAUAAGACUCCACAGUAUUCAACUAAUGGAAGAAAUUUUCAAUAUUGAGGUAUGGGGAAAUCAUUAUGGCUUAUACAUGAUUUAACAUGAAUUUUAUGCUAACUACAAUAGCCUGCUUGUGGCCUGUCAAACGUACAUUGUACAUCUGCCUUAGUCAUUAAAGAAAAAGGUGCAUUGGCCAGAAGUAAAGAACGUCCAUGUGAAAAAUAAAGAUGGGGACUUGCCAGGUGGUCCAGUGGUAAAGAAUCCGCCUUCCAGUGCAGGGGACGCAGGUUCGAUUCCUGGUCGGGGAACAGAUCCCUCAUGCUGCGGAGCAACUAAGCCUGCGUGCCACAAGCAGAGAGCCUGCACUCUGCAGUGCUCUGCAACGAAAGAUCCCCCGUGCCGCAACUAAGACUCAACGCAGUCAAAAAGAAAGAAAGAAAGAUGAAACGCCUCCCUUCCUGGGAGGCCAAUGCUGGUACUCCUUCAAUGAUAAGACUCCCUUCCCAGGUGCCAAGGCUGUACUGACUCACUGUGUACCUGCUCAUAGGUUUUUGUUUUGGGGUUUUUUUUUUUUUUGAAACCUUGAAGGACUGUAUCCCUGACUUGUUUAAUGUUUUGUUUUGACAAGAUACAAAACAAUGCUGGAAACCCUGCUUCCGAGCAGUUGCUCAGUUACCUAAGAGGCCGUCUCCCGUCU